UUUUAGUCAAGUUCUGUCUAACUGUCAUGCUCCUUAAAUGCUAGCUAUCAAUGCAAUACAUUUUGCAGCAUUUUGUGCUUCGAGAUUCCUGAGUGGAUGGGUUGAUCUGUAAUUGCUGGCAUUCUGACAACACUUAAGAGAUGCUCUCAGGAUCAACAUAAAGAGCUCUUAUCUGGGAGACAGCCAUUUAAGAGUACAUGUUUUCCUUCAUGAAAUAGCGCUGAAAGUACUUUCCAACUUCUCGUGGCAAAUACUGAACAAAACUGUAACCUCACUCAGCAGAAGAUGGACACUAUCAUCUACAGUGCAGAUGUUUGGUGCUUCUUUCCACUCAUGAGGAGAGACUGCCAGUGAAGGCAGACCAGGAGGUGAGCACACUCUCUGGGUCUGGUUGCAGUGCCCACAGAAUGGUCUCCGGGUAGCAAUAAUCUGGCUUAUGAUAUUGUGAUAAUUAUUCCUUGUGGUUUCUUGUGGUUUCUCUGUACACAGAGUAAGAUGAUAGCUUAUCACUUAGUCAAGCAAACUACUGGAAAAAAAACUGUAAUGGUGGUCUGGCAGAAAUGCAGAAUGUUUCAAAUGACUUCACAUGCCUGUUUGAAUGAAAUACAGCAAGUACACAUUCAGCUGCUUUCAAAGACAGCUUCCAUGAGGCUUCCAGUGGGACUGACUGCAGCCAGG
rnacentral:lncRNA from 1 species